UUUGAAAAACUUCCAUGGCAC
rnacentral:piRNA from 1 species